rnacentral:tRNA from 1 species
GCAAUAGUAGCUCAGCGCCAGAGCGCCGGU